rnacentral:lncRNA from 1 species
UUCCUUGUUGAAGCAUUACCAUUACCAUGGCUCAAUUCAUUGUUAAUAAGGUACCUAGAGAACUUAUCUUUCAAAUUUUUUUUCUCUUUUUUUUUUGAAGAUGCCACUAUUUUUCAUGAUUAAUGGCUCUUUAUUUUUUGAAGAAAACUCAAUUAUUUUUGUGAGUCUCUUGUUAUUAUUAUCAUAUUUUUUUUUAAGUUCUCUAGUACCC